GAUCCCAACAGCAUGGAACAAACUCGCCCGAAGAAGGUGAAUGUCUUUGUAUGGCGAUUCUUUCGUGACAAAUUGCCUACUAUAGCCAACUUACUUCUUCGUCGACUUCAAUCUCCUUCCCUUGAUUCUACUCUAUGUGCAGUUGGCCAUACAAUACACCUGUUUGGGACUUGUAACUUCAAUAAUGAGGAGAGGAGCAAUUGUCACUAUGUUUGUUGUUUCUUAUGCUCUCACAUCAUUUCUCUCUGGUUAUGUGAGUGGUGGCAUGUAUUCUCACAAUGGCGGUAAGCCGGGAAACAUUGGAGAAAGUGCCUGAUUCUCACUGCAUCUCUUUUCCCAUUUUUGUGCUUUGGAAUUGGCUUUGUUCUGAAUACCAUCGCGAUAUUCAGUGGUUCUCUAGCAGCAAUUCCAUUUGGCACAAUGGUGAUAGUUCUCUUAUAUAUGGGGUGAUAUUCAAUGGUUUCUUUCCCCCUUAACCCUUGUUGCAUGAAGACCAUUGCUUGCCCUAUUCCUGAGAAGAAGUGGUAUCUUACACCAUCUGUGGUCUUGAUAAUGGGAGGACUACUACCUUUUGGUAUUAAGAUGUACUUAGUCCUCAUCCUUCUAGAAUGACAAGGUAUUGAAAGAGGCAUGGACAGACUUAAUGCACGACCCCAUCUCCACCAUAUAACGAUAGAAUUUAAUGUUGUAGUUAUAGAAGGAGUCGAGGACUCGGGGCUACAGGUUUUCCACGACAUCCAUAUCCAGCUCACCACUCUCAACUAUCAAUCCAUCCAUCCUCACCAACAAAACCUGUUCUCGUGGGUGACCAAGCGUGACGGUGGUGUUGUUACCGAAGGGGAGUAACGGCAGCGAAGGUAAUUGUUGGGGUAGUUAAAUCCGGCAGAAAAAUGCUACUGCUAUGGAUUCUUGAUAGAAAACACGUUGUUGCCCACGAGUCUCUCUUUAGUUUAUCCCUUCCCCCCUUCUUCUUUAUCUUCUUAUUUCGUGAAAGAAAAAUAUGAUACGGUGUGAUGGUCAUAGAGUUUCAAUUGUGGAAUCGAAGAAGAUUAGUUAACACGAAGCGAAAAGGGAAGUACGAUGCUUAUAAUGGGCAGAAUUUACGCUAGGUCGGUAUUUCAGUGAGAAGUUGGGGUUGUUUGGGAUUGCUGUCGCUUUAUAUCAUUCUUGGAAAAAGCAGUAUUUUCCAAAACCUAUAAGGAUGUCAGACACGAAAAAAUACUAAUAACUUGACUAGACUUGCUAAUAGAGAUUAUCUUGGUGGCAGAUUAUCUAGGUGUUCAAGACUGUUGGCUCAAUGAAGUUAUAGUAGGACUAAUUAAAAGCUCUAUAAGCACUCAAAACAAGAUCCUUAAGAUCUUAUUAUUAACAGGCAGUCUGUAGCUUUGAUGCAGAAUAGGAAUUAUCAUUUGCUCUAAUAUACACAAUAUUAUCCUGUACUAACAAUGUAAUAGAUAAUGCUUUUAAUCAAGUUUUUUUCAUGGCUGCGAA